AAAUUCUCGACAUCAUGGACAUUGACAACAAACCGUCCUGGAUGGACCCAAUCAUAGAAUUCAUCACAAGUGGAAAUCUACCAAGCGAUGAAAGGUUGGCUAGAAGCAUCAAAGCUCGAGCUCCUAGGUACUACAUGAUCAGCGGUGUCCUCUUUCGCAGAAGUAUUACUCUUCCAUACCUAAGGUGCCUUAGACCAUCAGAAUCAUCCCAGGCCCUUGCUGAAGUUCAUGAAGGUGUGUGCGGGAAUUAUCAAAGAGCCAGGGCCUUGGCCUUUAAACUUAUACGAUAUGGAUACUAUUGGCCAACUAUGAAGAAAGACGCCUCAGAAUAUGUUAAAAGAUGUGAUAGGUGCCAGAGGUUUGGUAAUGUUAUCCAUUCACCAGCCGAAGACCUCACCAACAUUAACUGUUCGGCCCCGUUUGAACAAUGGAGAGUUGACAUCCUCGGCCCCUUUCCUGUGGCAAGAGGUCAAUUAAAGUUUGUUGCUGUAGCAGUAGAGUAUUUCACAAAAUGGGCAGAGGCCGAACCUCUCGCCACGAUAUCGGAGCCCAAGCUAAGAGCCUUCACUUGGAGGUCUAUCAUUUGCAGGUCUGGGAUACCAAAGGUCCUCAUCACUGACAAUGGCAGGCAAUUUGACAAUCAACAGUUCAGGGACUUUUGCUCAAACCUUGGGAUUGAUCACCGUCUGACUUCAGUUUCGCAUCCUCAGAGCAAUGGUCUGGCCGAGGUAGCAAAUCGAAUCAUAUUACAAGACCUCCGAACAAGAAUUAGUAAUGCUAGGGGUUCUUGGUUCGAUGAGCUGCCUUCUAUACUGUGGACAUAUCGAACAACUCAUAGGACAACCACAGGAGAAACCCCUUUUAUGUUAGCUUAUGACAUUGAAGCAAUGGUCCCGAUGGAAAUUAGGCUGCCAAGCCACAGGAGGCUCGUGCCAGAAACCUCGGGGCAUACAACUGAACACCUUGAUCUCUUGGAAGAAGUGCGGGAGCAAGUCGCUAUAAAGGUGGCCUCUUACCAAACUAAGACAGCAAAACAUUUUAAUAAAAAAGUCAAGACUCGGAGGUUCAGAGCUGGCGACUUGGUCCUAAGGAGGGCCGAAGCUGUAGGUCAUCCCCCAUGGAAGCUCAGGCCCAUCUGGGAAGGACCCUUUGAGGUCAUACGACAGGUUCGCAAAGGAGCAUACAGCCUAAGAGACACUUCGGGUAGACCUCUUCCAAGGCCCUGGAAUGUCGAUAAUCUGAAAAUAUAUUACAAGUAACAUUCCCGAUGCCAUCUAAGAGAUUUUCUUUUUAUUCCUGCAUUUUUAAUUCUUCUGAAUGUUAUUUUUGGUUCCUCGGGCCUGCGUGCCCUUGCAUUUUAUUUCUCUAGUUUAGCGGGCCUGCGUGCCCAUGCAUGUUUUCUGUUUUCUUUUAUAAUGAACUACGUUCGGUUUGAUCCCAUUUGGGUACAUAGUUAGCUUGGAUACAAUAUAAAUCCAAGUCCAGUCCGAGAAAUUAGUAAAUUC
rnacentral:lncRNA from 1 species